rnacentral:rRNA from 1 species
GAUCAUGGCUCAGGAUGAACGCUAGCGACAGGCUUAACACAUGCAAGUCGAGGGGCAUCACGGGAGUAGCAAUACAACUGGUGGCGACCGGCGCACGGGUGAGUAACGCGUAUGCAACCUACCUAUCAGAGGGGAAUAACCCGGCGAAAGUCGGACUAAUACCGCAUAAAACAGGGGCACCGCAUGGUGAUAUUUGUUAAAGAAAUUCGCUGAUAGAUGGGCAUGCGUUCCAUUAGGUAGUUGGUGAGGUAACGGCUCACCAAGCCGACGAUGGAUAGGGAACUGAGAGGUUGGUCCCCCACACUAGUACUGAGACACGGACCAGACUCCUACGGGAGGCAGCAGUGAGGAAUAUUGGUCAAUGGGCGGGAGCCUGAACCAGCCAAGUCGCGUGAAGGAAGAAGGAUCUAUGGUUCGUAAACUUCUUUUGCAGGGGAAUAAAGUGCAGGACGUGUCCUGUUUUGUAUGUACCCUGAGAAUAAGGAUCGGCUAACUCCGUGCCAGCCGCCGC